GCUUAGUAUGUGUACCUACUGUAAACAUGGACGAACAGCUAUAUGUAGGCUUUAGGUGGGCAAGCAGCGAGUCUUAGAUUGCCCAUAAAGGACCUACAGACAUCG
rfam:Prunus persica cultivar Lovell chromosome G7, whole genome shotgun sequence.